rnacentral:rRNA from 1 species
UACAGAGGUCUGCAAGCGUUGUUCGGAUUCAUUGGGCGUAAAGGGUGCGUAGGUGGCGCCGUAAGUCAGGUGUGAAAUCUCGGGGCUCAACCCCCGAAACUGCACUUGAUACUGCGGUGCUCGAGUACUGGAGGAGGAGAUUGGAAUUUACGGUGUAGCAGUGAAAUGCGUAGAUAUCGUAAGGAAGACCAGUGGCGAAGGCGAAUCUCUGGACAGUUACUGACACUGAGGCACGAAAGGCCAGGGGAGGCAAACGGG